UUUCUGUUUCCUAAGAAAGCUGUCAAAGCCUUAGGGAUCAGUUUCCUGCAACCCCCUUCCCUACCCCUCAUCCGGCCAUCUGUAAUAAAAUGUGCUAUUCUUUAAGAAAUGCUCUCCUCUGUAAAAAUUGCAAAAUCUUACCUAAUUGAUAUGUUAACCAUUGUUGCCCUCUACAAAUAACAGAUGUGGUACUAAAAUAAGCUAACAGAGAAAAAAGAUGUUUGCCCAAUCUAAACUUGCUUGUAUGCAGGGAGAUUUGCUUGUUAGCCCAACCCUUAUCUGAACUUUGCUCUUCCCAAUGUAAUUGCCGCGUUCCUGUUCUGUAGUGCACCCCCUCCCCCCUCUCCUUGCACUGUGAGACCAGUAGCUGUUUGCCGUUUUUUAAGUCCUGACUUUUAGCUGUCAGGAGUGCAGUCUCCAGAUUGGCUCCUGGAGAUUGCGUUGCCAGGCCUGGCCUAAAAUAAAGCUUUUGCUCCCUAAAUUUUAAUUUCUUGCUUCCUUGGAUUUUAUUCCGGGGUCUGAAUUACCACAAUUAUGAGCAUUACAAUGAAACAUUUUUUGAAAAUCAAUUUUUUCAAAAUAUUGAAAUAUUGACUCAUUUUCUAAUUACUAUUGAAUAUAUUUUUGUUUUCUUUCCAAUUAAUAAUUUUAGAUGCAGAAUUAACUUUCUUUUCAAACUUUCAAGCUGCUAUUUUAAGUAGUGUUAUUGCAAGGAGGAUUUGGUUUUGAGGAUUUGGUUCCUCUUUAUAACUACUGGCUCUUGGUUUCAAGGAUAAAUAUUGAAGCAUGAAACGACCUUUGCAACAAAUUAUCAUAUCACAUAAAAUUAGGACAACAUAUACCACAUUUUUGGAGAAACUGUGAUUAUUUUUGAAAGCCCAGGGCUAGAUUAUUAUUGAAUAAUCAUUUCAUGUAAUAUUCCUCUAAUCAACAACAGGAGGGCCAGGUGAGGUGGCCUGAAAUUUGAUGUUAGAGAUGAGCUUUCACUUCUUACAUCAACAGAUUUGAAAUAUCAAACCUGUAGAUUCCUAUGUUUGUUUCUUCUAAAUUUUAUCUGAUAAGAUUUUGGUGCAGUACACAAAGAAAGGAGACAAGAGGCCUUUUUUGUGGGCAUGGGAGGGCUGCAGAAGAGAUGCAAGCACCCUCAGGUGAGAACAAAGAAGUGGAAGUACUUUUACCAGGUCUGGCCAGGGAAGGAGUUUGGGAGGUGUACAAAAUGGCAUGUUAACAGCUGAUUUGAAAAAACAUUUGCCUGAGCAAAACAGGAAACAGAAAAGAUUUAGUGGGGGCUGGAGGUGGAACCCUUUAUGGAGUCUUAGGAUUGUAGAGGGCUUAGUGUAUGUGCAAAAAUGGAGCAGGAGUUUUAUUUCUGGAAUUAGAAGAACACAGAAGUUACUCUUGGAAAGAUAAGUUGCUUUUCUGGAGCCCAUACCAAGUUGAGGGCUGUCAUGUUGGAGAUAGCUAAGCCCCAGCUGCAGAAUCUGACAUUAGCCAUCUAGGGUGUGACCUUUUGGGGCCAACCCUUGAGGAAUGUAGUAUUGGAUUAUGAAGUAAAGAAAGAACCAGUGAAAAACAGAGUGUAAUAGAUGUGAUUGCUUCCCAUUGUCUUUGGCCUUAGUGAGAGGUCUCAGAUCACACCUGUGUCUCCAAGAAUCAAACUGAUGACCUUAACACUUCAUCCACCAGGUUUUAUCUCAGUCUCCAGGUCCUGACCAGCUGGCCUGCUCACAGUACUACCUCUGCUGUUUUGAUGUCAUGAUGAGCUGCAGUUCACCCAGCAGAUGCAAGGUUCUGACACCAGCUGGUUCAAAAUCAGAGUAUCUUUAUUUUUCUCUCAUCGCUGAGAUAUUACCUGAAACCCAAAAUUAAGGAAGGAAGGUUUAUUUAGCUCACAAUUUAUAGCAGUUCCAGUCUGUAAUCAGCUCGCCCCAAGAGAAGGUGGCACAGCACUCAUGCAACAGUUCAGGGAGAGCAAGCCUCUUUUCCUCCCUUGUAUUGUACACAGGCCACACACCCCCCCCCCCCCCGGAGUGAUGUAGCACUCACAAAGUCUCCUUGCCCUUCUGUUGCAGAAGACUAGAAUAUUUACAAAGUAAGAUCCAUGGCUCCCUGCUGAGUGUGUUAAUUAAACUUCUAAACUUCUCCAGUGGAACAGGAAGCUCAUGCUGCCUGUAAGAGAAAAGCCCACAGUGAGAACAAAGAGCUACAUUCUUAGUUUCUACAAUCUAAUGACACCUUGAGACAGAACCAAAAAAUGUUCUGAUGUGUUUCACUGUGAGAGAGAUGUGUCUUCUGCCCCUCAUAGUAUAUAAAGGAAUUUAACAGGAAAUGGAGGGCGUAGAAAGUAAGUAAGCAAAAAGUCUUUAGGGACCAAGUGUUCUUGGUGCUUGUGUAUUCUCCAAGUGUGGGUAUUCUCUCACACUGAGAGAAAGAGAGAGAGAGAGAGAGAGAGAGAGAGAGAGAGAGAGAGAGAACAUAUCGUAGGACUAGGACAUGAUACAAUCAUCUAGUAGGAACCUGGGCAUCAAUGGUCUCAUGCUCCACUUCUCAGGUGCAAUCAUGAGAGGUCGCAGCCUCCCACUUGAAGUAGACUCUCCUAUGCCCCUGGAAUGUCACUGGGACAGUGAAACAUGUAUCCACAUUGACCAGGAAGUCCUGGGAUUGGGAUGGUAGUAAGCAAAGUUGUGAGUGGCUCACGUUAGGAAGGGAUAAGAAGGUUUGGCUAUGCUAAAAUGGAAAUAAGCAUCAAAAGAGAACCCAUCCUUUGGUAACUGCUCUGUAAAGGAAAAAUAUGUGUGUGUUCUGCAUGUGUUUAUUUAUAAAAUAGAGCUCUGGAAAGCAUAGUUUAUGAAAUUCAUGAUUUUUGUCUCAAUAAAAUUUUCAGAAUCCAAAUUGAAUUGGCUGAGCCAAUUAUUUUCCUUUCUUUCCAUGCUUCUGUGAUUUUUAAAUAUGUAGCACACCUAUCACGUGACAUAAGAAAAACUAAAGAUGAUAAUAAUAAUGUGAAGUAUUUAUAUGUUUUUGAGAAUUCAAAAGUUUGACUAAACAUAAGUUCAAACUGAUGUGAUGGAUUUUUUAGAAUAAGCAACUUUGUGCAUGUCAAAGAAAAGCAGAAUAUAUAAUCUUUCUAAAUUUUUAAACUAAAUUAAUCUGGUAGCAAAUUUGAAUUUGUACCACACUCUGAAGAAUAAGCCUUGUAUUUCAUACUUCAACAUACUACAAUAAUUAGCAAUUAAAAUAUGGUUAAAAUAUCUCUUUUUUUGAAACUUAAAAGCAGUUCUUAAGGAAAACUUUUGGUGACCAUGUUGGAGCUUAAGACACUGGGAAACCAAGCAAGCACCUCCCUUCCCUGGUAAGCGGUGCAGUAUGGCAGACCACGGCCCUGCCAGGGGGAUUACCAGCAGCAGCUCCAGAGAUCCACGCCAUGUUGGAACCUAGGACACUGGCAAGCCAAGCAAGUGCCUCUCUUCCCUGAACUGCAGAUUGAACCCACAGCCUUCACGCUGAGCAAAAAUUCUACUCUUUUAAAAUUGAUUUAAUUUAAACAUUUUUGAGAGUGGACCUUACCAAUUUGCUGAGGCCACAUUUGAACGUGCAAUCCACCUGCUUCAGCCUCCCAGAGUGCUGGAAUUUUCAGUGUGUACCACUAUUCCUGGUUGAGGUUCUGGAUUAUUUUUUCUUAUGGCUUCAUUUAUGGGCCCCAAAUCUAGACGUUUACUACAUAUAGCAGCUUCACACCAUUUUUCCAGUUCCAUGCCCUGUCCAUAGUUAUUCACUUUUGAGUGUCAGUUAUCUCCUGGAACACUAUUUUAAAGUUCUCUUCGUGAUUAUAUUCCUGAGGUUCUACGACUCACAGCUACAUUGAGUCCAUUAAGGUUAUGGUGACAUUGGCUUUACGCCCAGCUUGGGGAAAAGAAUGCCUCCACAUUCAGUGAGUGGAAUUUCUGAGUCAUACAUCCUUGCCCUGCUUUUCAUCUGCAGAUGCAUCCUCUGAUGAUGAGAGCCACUCUGAAGAGGCAUUUCCCUGUUUUGGUCAAGCAUCUCAAAAAUAAUUAAUUAAUUAUCUAAUUUAUUCAAAAGGUUUUUUGUUGCUGUUGCUGUGGCUUGCUUGAUUUGGUUUUCUUGUGGUAUUGUAGGAAGUUCAUUCCAGGGGACCUGGAAAUAUUUACUUAAUGAAAUUUAAGAAAUUAAAGACUUUCAGAUCCUUUAAAGAACUAUUAUUCAAGUUUUACCUCUCUAUACCCCAGGAAGCCAGGCAUUACCAACAAGACUGAGAGAGAGUUCUACAGAGUUCACUGCAAGAUGGAUAUGAGACAAAGUACAGACUUCUUUUGAAAGCCAAAUAUUGGGUGAGAUAACAUCAUGUACCGAAGAAGGGAUUGUUAAACUAUACACCUACCAAGUAGAGGCAGGGAAUGUUUUGUAACUUUUAAGAUCCCUGUAUAUUACAACAAAAUGACUCAGUUGAAUCCUGAGUCUGGGUUCUAUUACCAUUAUUAUUGUGGUCUAGUAUGUUAUCAGGUCCCAUAACUUUAUAGUAGAUCCUCUUUUUUUCCAGACCCCAGACUCUGACAUUUUUGUUCAUUCAACCUCGAUUCACUGAUGUCUGCUGAGCUCUGGGCAUAGUGCUCAGCACAGGAAAUGUAAUAAUGAUGUUGAAACAUACUUGAACCAAAGAGCUCAUGAUCCAGUGGAAGAGAAAAUAUCACCAACCUAUUAUUAGAAAACAAUCUAUAGCACUGUUGUAGAAAUACAUCUUCAGAAAAAUGAAAAUACCAAAGAGUAGAGCUUGGAAGUUUAAGGAAGACUUAUUGCUGGGUGUGACAGUGGAGGUCAGAUAAAAAGUAGGAAAAACUGGGCUGCCUGUGUGACUCCAUGGAGACAAGAAUCAUGUGAGAGGGAUUUAUUUAUAAGCAGGUCAGUGGCAUAAGGUUGCAAUGAAUGGCUAACUUAGAGGGCCAGAGGGUCAUAUAUACAAUGUUAGCUUUGACCUUUCUUGGGAGUUAGGUGGGCUAACAUGAUUAUAUUUUAUUUUAAAUAGAGUCAGAUUAUGGAGCCAGAUAGCUCUUUUAAAGGCUCUUACAAAGGAUGAUGAAACGCUAUGCUGAAAAUGAAGAAGGGAGAUGAGUGAAAUAUCUUUAAGAUGUCCUAUUGGGAGGACUUAGCAUUUAUACGUGGAAUGUAAUACAAACAGUGUAGUCAGUUAAGAAUGACUCAGAUUUUUAUUUUAGAUUAAUGGAUGGACUUGAAAAUUGUAUAUUGGAACACAGGACUUUAAAGAGAAGUCUGACAUGGGAAACUAGCCCAAAUUUUAUAAGCAUGGAGAAUUCAUCAUCAAGAAACUAGAGACUUUGAUCCUGUAUUUCAACAUAUUUUCUAGGUAAGGAUUCUUUGGUUCUUGAUGAUAGUGAUUUAAGAAAAACAAGAAUACUCACCUAUCCAACCCUUAUACAGUUUUGGUGUAAGUGGGCAACCACUUUGGAAAAGAAUUUGACAGUUUUAAAAAUAUUUUAAAAUAUACUUAUCAUGUGACCCAGUAGAGUAAUGCUAUUCUAGAUAUGUCAAGGUGAAGUGAAAGUAUAUAUCAAGACAAAAAAUUUAUACAUUUACAUUCUUAUGCACUUUAUUAUAAAAAUGAAAAAAAAAAACCUUUAUCCUAGUGGGUGAUAAACAAACUGGCACUUCUGUGCAAAACAAUAACACACAACAACAAAAAUCAAACAUCAAUGUAGACUACAAUAUAGAUGAAUUUUGAAAAAUUAUACUGAGACAAAGAAGGCAGAUAGAAAAGUAUAUGUACUAUAUGACUCAACUUAUAUAUUUGUCUUUGAAAAUAAAAUUAGUAUAUAGCAUGAGAGAAUAAGGAGAGAGAGAGGGAGAGAGAGAGAGAGAAAGAGAGAGAGAGAGAGAGAGAGAGAGAAAGAGAGAGAGAGAGAAUGAUAACCAAAAGGAAGAGGGAAACUUCUGGAAGAAUAGAAAUAUUUAUCAUUUUGAUUGGAUGAUAAUUUCACAGGUAUAUACAUUUGCCAAAAUUUCCCAAAAUGUACAUUUUAAACAUGUAUAAUUGUAGUAUAUAAAUUAUAUCUUAAUAAAAUUAUGAAAAAGGACUUCCGGGAGAACAUGGCAGAUAGAUAACAGCAGCUAUUGAGGCUCUCUGAGAUCGCCAGCUUAGAUUCCAGGAAUGGUGUGGUGUGAGGAGUCCUAAGCAGGGGGAGAUAUACCCUGCCAACCCAGGAAUGAACUAAGCUGAGAGAAACCAACUGGAAAUACAAUCCAGGUGCUAUGACUGGAACAGUUAAAGUCUCAGUGCCGAAGCUGGAACCCACACCUCUAGAAACCAUGGAUUGAAUUUCCUGCUACCCCUGCUGCAUCUGAAUUGGUACAGCACCGACAGAGAUGGGAAGAGUCUGAGAGUGGGAAUUGGCAAACCCAAUUGAGAGCAGAGCUGGCAGGGAGCCCUGCAUCAACCUACAGUGAGUGAGAGGAACAGGGAUACUUCCAUAGACUAAGAGGCUCCAACAGAGGACAUUCUGGGACUGGGCAGACUAGCCAGAACAGGAGGCUGCAGUGACUUCAGUCACAUAUUCCAGGAUUGGUGGGGAGUGCUUGACCUGGGUGAUGCCAUGGACUAAGACCCAGUAGGCUAGCCCAAACCAGGUCCCUGUGCCUGGCAGUGCACCCUAAUGCAGUGAAGCCUUCAAUAGUUUGACUGACCUGGAGGGGCAGACCCAGCAUAGGCUGCCCAGGUCUGUGUCUCCCUAGUACACUGCAGUGGGUGGGAACACCUAGCCAGCAUGAUUCAAACAAACUGUAUCUGACAAAGAAAAAAACUGGGUCUCUUCUAUAUGCUUGUAUGGAAGGAACAAAAAGUAUGGGAAGAGGAAGCAACAAGAAAGGGUCCUCAGUCCCCAAUCCUGAGAACACUGAUCCAGGAAAGGUAAAUGCAAAGGAGGACAGAAAACAUGCAAUAUCAGACACUGCACCAAUAGACAUAAAGCGAUAUCUCUGGAGUCUCAUAGACAAGUUCAAAAGUGAAGUAUUUAACCAAGUAAAGCAAGAUAUAAGUAGACUAAUUAAAGAAAUGCUAAGCACCUCCCAAGAAAAAACAAAUGGUUGGAAUGGGAGAAUUUCUAAAAAGGGGAGAAUUGUUUGAUGGAGAAAAUAGAGAAAAACAUAGAAUAUAUGAAGCAGUUUCAAAGAGAUUAUCAGAUUACUAAAAACUCUAUUGAAAGCUGGCAUAACAGCUUAAAAGAAACUAAGGAUAGAUUAUUUGAACUGGAGGACAGAUUUGUAACAUGGGAACAUGAAAGGAAAACCUUAAAAAUAACAAGGAAACAAGUAGUAACAAUACAAAGGCUAGAAUAAGAGGAUCUAUAACUUAAGAAUUAAGAACAUAAGAGAAGAAGUGGGGACACAAACAAAUGGACUACAAAAGCUAUUCACAGAAAUAAUCCAAGAGAAUUUCCCUAAUUUAGCAAAUUGUAAAGAUACUCAGAUAUAUGAGGCAUACAGGACCCCAGCCACCUACAACCCAAACAGAACUACACUCAGGCAUAUAAUAAUCAAAAUUCCAGAAAUCCAAUAUGAGAACAGAAUAUUAAAAGCUGUCAGAGACAAGAAACAGAUCACUUACAAGGGAACACCCAUCAGAAUUACAGCAGACUUCUCAGACAAAGCAUCAAAUCACAAAGAGCAUGGGGCAAAAUAAUUCAAGCUUUGAAAGACAAUAACCUACAGCCAAGAUUGAUAUAUCCUGCACAACUGUCCCUAGGAAUUAAUGGAGAAACAAAAUGCUUCCAGGAUAAAGAGGAACUAGGGGAAUUUGCAACCACCAAUUCAACUCUACAGAGAAUACUGCAGGACAUUCUAAAAGAGAAAAAUAUCAAGAUUCCAGAAACAGUGGCAGAGAGGCCACAAUGAAUGGAGCAGAAAGUAAAAUGAAGAAGACAAACUGACAACUAAUGACAGAAAAACUCAACAGAAAUGAGGCAGAGAAGAGAAGGUUGGAUGGUAUGAACAGCUAUUUUGGAAAAAACAAGACAUCAUAAUAGCUAUUUAAUAUCAUCUUGUUUUGAAGUCCCAUCAAGCUUUUGUUCUUCUGUCUCCAUCAGUCUUAACAUGUUGUAUCUUAUUGGAUUUUAUUAUAUGUGAUAAUAUAAACAAAAACUUUUAUAGACAAGGAGAUAAUACAGGAACCAUUGUUCAUUUUCUGUUAGUUGAUUCUAAAUACCCUGUAAUACUGUCAUUCUCUUGAAUGGUUUUACACUGUCUUGAUAUGUUUGAUGCUAUAGUAUAUGAAGUUGUACUCAAAGAUUUCAAGGAAAGAGACACUAUGAUAACUACUUUAAUGUCGGGAUGUCUUGUGGUGAAACAUUAUUUUGCUUAAAUGGUUAUGUUUGGACCUGUGCUAUUUUGUAGUUAUGCCCUCUUUUAUCUCAAUCUCCUUGUUUAUUAUUUAUUUUUUAUUUUUAUCUUUUUAAUUAAGGGAAAAAUAAAUUUAAAAAUAGCAAGAUAUAUUAUAGUAACCCACUCUGAUUUCCUAUUAACUUGAUUUGAAACUCUGUAUUCCUCUCACCAUCUUUUUUUGAUUGAUUUUCCUCUAUUCUGUUUUGCUUGAUACUACCAAGUUUGAGAGUAUAGGCAACAACUGUGAGACAAUAAGAUUCACUAUGAUGUCCAUUCUGAUUUGACUAUUUUCUUCUUUUGAAGUUCUGUAAUAUCUUCAAUGUUUUGGCUUUAUUGGUUUUGUUCUUUACUGUUUUAUUCAAUUUUAUUAUACCCUGAUGGUAUAGGCAAUUCUUUUUAAGAUAGCAAGAGGCAUUAUGGUAACCACUGUUGAUCAUCUUGUAUUCUGUGUUUACAUUAUGUACUAUGCCCAUCCUUUUGAUUUGACUGACUCUGUUUUGUUAUGUCACAUUUGGUUUUAUUCUCUUCAAAAAGAAAAGUAAUGAGAACUGUGGGAGUAAUAAAACCCAAAAUGUGUAAUUGUCAUUGUAAAAAAGAGAGGAAAAGAAAGUGCUCUAAGGAUAUAACUGCAUGUAUAUUUAAGCAUAUAAGAUAGAUAACCAUAUUACUGAGUUUUUGUUGGAUCAUUGAACAGAACUGUUUGCAGUCUCACUAUUUGAAUGUCCACUUUAUAUGCUUUAAUUUUGUAACUUGAACAACUAUUUCUAAUAUAACAAUAUGUACUAGUGAUUUCCUACUGUUUAUUUUUUUAAAUUCUGUAUGACCUGUAGCUUUUUCUGUUUUUUUUUUUCUUUUUCUCCUUAAAUAAAAUUUAAAAAAAUAAAACUAUGAAAAAGAAGGGGAGUUCCACUUGGUUACUCACCAGUGACCACCUCAAAAAUACCAUCUGGAUCUAGAAACUAGAGUAUGUGAAUUGUUUCCCCAAUAUGGUAACUCACAUUCCCUUGAUUGAAACAGAAAGAUGUUACUUUUGCAGAAGAACAUACUCUUUUGCUAAUAACUUUUUAAAAAUGAAAUAUUGUCUUAGGGGUUAUAAUGAAUUUAAUAAAAGUCUAUUGACACUGGCA